rnacentral:rRNA from 1 species
GACGAACGCUGGCGGCGUGCCUAAUACAUGCAAGUAGAACGCUGAAGAGAGGAGCUUACUCUUCUUGGAUGAGUUGCGAACGGGUGAGUAACGCGUAGGUAACCUGCCUUGUAGCGGGGGAUACUAUUGGAAACGAUAGCUAAUACCGCAUAACAAUGGAUGACACAUGUCAUUUAUUUGAAAGGGGAAAUUGCUCCACUACAAGAUGGACCUGCGUUGUAUUAGCUAGUAGGUGAGGUAAUGGCUCACCUAGGCGACGAUACAUAUCCGCCCUGGGAGGGUGAUCGGCCACACUGGGACUGAGACACGGCCCAGGCUCCUACGGGAGGCAGCAGUAGGGAAUCUUCGGCAAUGGGGGCAACCCUGACCGAGCAACGCCGCGUGAGUGCAGAAGGUUUUCGGAUCGUAAAGCUCUGUUGUAAGUCAAGAACGGGUGUGAGAGUGGAAAGUUCACACUGUGACGGUAGCUUACCAGAAAGGGACGGCUAACUACGUG